ensembl:lncRNA
UUUUUUUUUUUUUUUUUUUUUGAGACGGAGUCUCGCUCUGCCGCCCAGGCUGAAGUGCAGUGGCCGGAUCUCAGCUCACUGCAAGCUCCGCCUCCCGGGUUCUCGCCAUUCUCCUGCCUCAGCCUCCCGAGUAGCUGGGACUACAGGCGCCGCCCCCUCGCCCGGCUAGUUUUUUUGUAUUUUUAGUAGAGACGGGGUUUCACCGUGUCAGCCAGGAUGGUCUUGAUCUCCUGACCUCGUGAUUCGCCCGUCUCGGCCUCCCAAAGUGCUGGGAUUACAGGCUUGAGCCACCGCGCCCGGCCGACCCAGAUAUUUUUUUUAGUGGCAAGAUCCAACGGUGAGACUAGGAGAUCUAUCUAGAUUAAUGAUCAUGCCAUGGUUGUACAUGAUUACAACUAUAGGAUGUAGAAAGAAGUGCAGGAAAUAACAUUUUUUUAAAAAAAUUGGAAGGCCCUUAGAAAUGAUUUACUUGGCUAGUUUCUCCUCCAACAUUUUAUUAUGAAAAAUUUCAAACAUAUAGAAAAGUGGAUUUUAGAGUGAACACCUAUAUACCCACCACUGACUUUAUUAACACUGUACUACGCUUACUUUAUCAUGUGUCUCUCCAUCUAGCCAGCUCAUUACGUAUUUAUCAAUCCAUCUUUUUAAUUGCCUUUUCAAAAAACGAAAAACCCUAAUCAAACCCUAUCUGCUUUAUUUUAUUAUUUUUAUUUUGUUUUUGUUUUUUUGAGAUGGAGUCUUGCUCUAUCACCUAGGCUGGAGUGCAAUGAUCUAGGCUCACUGCAACCUCCGCCACCCAGGUUCAAGCAAUUCUCCCGCCUCAGCCUCCCGAGCAGCUGGGACUACAGACGCGUGCCACCACACCCGGAUAAUUUUUGCAUUUCUCAUAGAGAUGGGGUUUCACCAUGUUGGCCAGGCUGGUCUCAAACUCCUGACUGCAGGUGGUCUGCCUACCUCAGCAUCCCAAUAUGCUGGGAUUACAGGUGUGAGCCAGUGCACACGGCCCCUUUCUGCUUUAAAAAGCUAUUUAAAAAACACUUUCUCAAAUCAUCUUUUGAGAAAGGGCAAUGAAACGGAUAAAAAUCAAGCUUCUCGGGUUGAUGCAGAGUUAGAGUUAGGCGCCUGAUGUCCUGACAACUCACGCCCACCUCCACCUGCCCCCAGGUGCCAAGGAGGACCCUGAGAAAUGACAGAUAACUCCUCACCUGGCAAACAGACCUGGGAAGGGUGUGGUUCUAUCCUGCCACACCGUUGUUAUGUGUCCUAGGGUAACUUAUCUCAUUACUGUUCGGUUUUCUUGGAAAGAGGAGAUGAUAAUUACACAAACCAAUUCAAAACUAGCAACAAAUUCCUGGUACAUAGUAAGUACAUGCUUUCUCAAUGUUAGCUGUUACUAUGAUCAUUACUAGUAUUAACAACAUUAUCAUUACCACCAUAUACCUUAGAGAGAAUGAAGCUUCAAAGCAGAUGCGCACAUAAGAGGAAAAUGGUGGGAAGCCUGGGUGGGAACGCAGGGACUCAGAUCCCACUGCUGAGCCCAUCGUCAGCCUUUGGUAACUAAGUCAAGCUCACAGUGGUAUAUAAAUGAGAAAAACCCCUGUGUCCUCCUUCUCUCGAAGGGAUGGUUUAAAGAUUAAAUGGGAGGGUAAGUACAAACAUUCAGGAAGCAAAAUUUCUGCAGCAAUUCGAAGAGUUCCUAUUGAUACUAUUAAAGGUGUUGUUCCAGGCACUGAUGAGCUGU